rnacentral:lncRNA from 1 species
CUUGUUUCAAAAGCUGUAAUUGACUGGUAGGGUUGCAACAAAAUUAAAGACCAAAAUAACUUGUGUUCAAAGUUUGCAGGCAUAAAAUGUGAUGUUACUUCAAGGUUUGGAUACAGACUUCAUAAAUAUUCAGGGCUGAAGGUCGCAAGCCGAGGUCUGAGAAGAUUUGUAAGUCAGUGGAAUUUCUGCUUUGGAUGAAAUAACUCACGGUUGUAAAUCUAUGUGCUAGCACACUUCUUAAGCAAGAUACAGUACAGGGA